ACAAAACAAGAAUAACAAACAAAGUGACCCAAGUUUGAACCGAAGGUUUAAACAUAGUUCCGCCAUUGCUGAAACAUCUUCCCUCCGACCAUAAACAUGACAUUUCAGUUUAGCAUAAUUGGUCGAAGGCAUGGGAGACUGACAAGCAUGUGCAGCAGACAGCCAGAGUUGAAGCUCCAAUGCGCCUGAAGUAAAGCAGGCAUGAACUAACAGGCUGUUACGCAUCACUACAGUCCUCGGAGGAGAGAGAGGUGUAUUCAUGCCGUAAGUGGAUAAAGAUAUCCUUUUCCUUUUUUCCGAGGCAUUUUUGCUGUGUUUAUGUGAAUAUGUGCGCAAGAGAGACAGCCGCAGUGUCUCUGC
rnacentral:lncRNA from 1 species